CCGGCACGUGGCACUGUAACAGGCACAUGGCACUGUAACCGGCACGUGGCACUGUAACCGGUGCUUGGCACUGUAACCGGCACAUGGCACUGUAACCGGCACGUGCCCUCCUCUGUUAAUGGAAUUGUGAUCUGACAAAGAGAUCAGUCUCCAUGAUUCUGAGUGAUGGGACUCUCUUCACAAACAAUUAGCCCAGCUAGAAGGCAGUUGGGUUUUGGCACAUCAGAAAACCCACUGAACUUGGAAUGAGACAAUCUGGACUUGGAUACCAGCUUUACUGUUGAUGACAUUAGGUGUGUGAUAUGUGUCCUCUAAGCAUCGAUUUCCUACAGAAAAUAAGGCAAGUGGUCAGGACACUCUUUAUAGAUCUCCUUAUUUAUUUCUCUGAAGUAUAAAUAGAAGUAUCCAAACCAGGAAUGUAAUAGAGGACUCCUGUUGACAUCUGAUAUUCUGGAGGACUGUACUCUUGGUGUGAAAGAAGACACCCACCCAGUGCUAUACAGGUCUCAGUCUUGGUGGUGAAGGCUCUGGAGGGCUUGAGCCACAGGUAUUCAGGCCAGCAUGGCUUCUUGGCUUUCUGGGUUACACUGCCAUUAUGCUCUCUUCCUCUCCUACCAAACUCAAUGGCAGCUCUGCCUGACAGUACCAUCU